rnacentral:lncRNA from 1 species
UGGUCAAGGCCGGCCCGACCCUUAGGCGAGAUAGGCGGCCGCCUAAGGCCUCGGGCCGAAAGAAGGCCCCCGCAUUCGAAAUAAAGCUACAGUGAAGUAACAGCUACGGCUAUGGCUAUGAGCUAUCCUCCUUCAACUUCAAGCCUUCAAGACGAUACGACUGAAAAGUAAGCCUCCCCCGAUGCCGCCCCGCGACUGCAAGCCUGCGACGCUGCCUCUCAGACGUGCACAAUCCCAUCGCAGCCAGGGCCAAGGUCCAAGGAACAGAGUCUUCUCUGUUCCUUGUUCGCUGUAAAG